rnacentral:rRNA from 1 species
UACGUAGGGUGCAAGCGUUGUCCGGAAUUAUUGGGCGUAAAGAGCUCGUAGGCGGUCUGUCGCGUCUGCUGUGAAAACUCGGGGCUUAACCCCGGGCCUGCAGUGGGUACGGGCAGACUAGAGUGCGGUAGGGGAGACUGGAAUUCCUGGUGUAGCGGUGAAAUGCGCAGAUAUCAGGAGGAACACCGGUGGCGAAGGCGGGUCUCUGGGCCGUAACUGACGCUGAGGAGCGGAAAGCAUGGGGAGCGAACAGG